CAGCCGCCGCGGGAAUACGUAGGUGGCAAGCGUUGUCCGGAAUUAUUGGGCGUAAAGCGCGCGCAGGUGGUUUAAUAAGUCUGAUGUGAAAGCCCACGGCUCAACCGUGGAGGGUCAUUGGAAACUGGGAAACUUGAGUGCAGAAGAGGAGAGUGGAAUUCCACGUGUAGCGGUGAAAUGCGUAGAGAUGUGGAGGAACACCAGUGGCGAAGGCGACUCUCUGGUCUGUAACUGACACUGAGAGAUGAAAGCUAGGGGAGAAAAUGGGAUUAGAUACCCCCGUAGUCCCUGUCUCUUAUAC
rnacentral:rRNA from 1 species